AGCCACUUAAGCACGAUCCGCCUAUUUCGCUUCCGUGGAUCGACCCUCGCGUAACCAUGGAUACGGAAGGCGUAUUAGUCCUGCUGCAGCCGGCAGCUGCAAUCAAUCACCAGCAAUCUGCGCACCUGGGGUUGAUCAGAGGACCGCCUUCAUAAGCCUGCACAACCUGCUAUCCCGUGCCAGAACGUAGCUACCUGUCCCGUACACAGACCUCCGUUCCCGCGCGACGAGCUGUGUGUCUCGUCUUUUCCUUGUUCCCUCUGCUUCCCUGACUGCCUCUUGGAUCUCGACCUCCCGCUUGGACACGGACCUUCUACGCCUCGACUUCCUGCCUGUCUCAUGGACCUCCAAGCUUGUCUUGUCCCGCUUGAUCCUCCGCCUCUCGCUCAA